CACGUAGGCACCAAGCGUUGUCCGGAUUUAUUGGGCGUAAAGAGCUCGUAGGCGGUUUCGUAAGUCGGAUGUGAAAAACUCCAGCUCAACUUGGAGACGCCAUUCGAUACUGCGAUGACUGAGUCCGGUAGGGGAGUGUGGAAUUCCUGGUGUAGCGGGUGAAAUGCGCAGAUAUCAGGAGGAACACCGGCGGCGAAGGCGGCACUCUGGGCCGGUACUGACGCUGAGGAGCGAAAAGCGUGGGGUAGCA
rnacentral:rRNA from 1 species